UAAAUUCGAGCUUUGUUGAUCCAAAGCAUCUAUCUUCCGAAAACUAAAAAAUGCGGCUACUGAAACCCUCCCCAAAAACAAAUCAACACCCUCGAAACCUCAAAGAACAAAAGAUCUGCACAAAUUCCACGAGAAAAACCAAGAAAACUGAUGGAUCUACGAAUCCAACUAACAGAUUAUCUAAAACCCAAAAAAACGACAUCGAAAAAACCUGGGGAAUGGCGCGCGACUGUAAACCCUAGUCGCCUCUGCCUCGGGCCACCCUUCUUCUCCAGGAGCACAGCACGCUCGAAGAAGAAGAGAGAGAGAGAGAGAUGGGUUGUUUUUUUCUUUUUUUGGCCUAUUUCUGUCCGCCAAUUUCCCUGGCUCGGGUUGUCGCCAUUCCGUGAAGCGAAUCCACGACGUGAAGUUUAG
rnacentral:lncRNA from 1 species